UACGUAGGCAGCGAGCGUUGUUCGGAGUUACUGGGCGUAAAGCGUGCGUAGGCGGUUGUCUAAGUCUGGUGUGAAAUCUCCCGGCUCAACUGGGAGGGUGCGCCGGAAACUGGAUGACUGGAGUGCCGGAGAGGUAAGCGGAAUUCCUGGUGUAGCGGUGAAAUGCGUAGAGAUCCGGAAGAACACCGGUGGCGAAGGCGGUUAGCUGGGCAGUUGCUGACACUGAGGCGCGACAGCGUGGGGAGCAAACAGG
rnacentral:rRNA from 1 species